CGCGUUUUCCUCUGGGGACAGGGCGAUCCCCGCCCUCUGGAGGUGCAGAUCAGUUUGCCCACGCUUUGCGACGAUAGGAAAAAAACAGGGACGAUGGGCACCAGAAAGGGAGGCCUCAGGGUCCAGCCUGCUGCAUAUCUGGUCCCCCGGGAGGGACUGUGAGUCUCCCUGCCCCGCCCCUUUUUCCUGCAGUUGCGGCGAGGGUGCCUCGAUGGAACCAAACCUGUUCAGGAAAUCUAAGAACUCGAGCGCAGUCCCGUGUGUAGACGAGAGCUGAGGGAGCCGCGAAGAAGGCUGAGAACAGCUACUCGCGGUCAAGGUCAUGGCGGGGGCAAGGUCACGGGCUCCCCUCUCUGCCCUGCACCCCGCCAGGUUACACAAACCAGCUGGCCCGGGUCUGUGUGGGAGGCGGAAGCUCGUGAGGGUGAAGGCUGCUGUGUGAGGCUAGUGAGGACAGGCCCUGCUGCCAGCGCGAAUCACGAGUUCCCUCCUGGAGAUGGUGAGCCGAAGCCAGCUAAAACACCACUGCUCUACUUGUCAAAUAACCAACUCCUCUCCUACUCGAGUCGUCGGUGGACAGCACCAUGUAGCAAGGAGAUUCAGCUCCUGCCUCCACUUCUGGAUCUACCUGAGAUGCUUAAUGCUUUUCCACUGUUUUAUUUACCUUGCUGUCCAUAUCUUACUUAAUAAGGGCAUCAUUUCUUGAUGUCUCAAAGAUGUUCACUUGUCUUUAACAAAAUAUUUUCUGGCCCCUCUGACAUUCACUUAUAUAUACUCAAAUCAUUUUUUCUCAUGAUUUAGAAAAAAAUAUUUUGCAAUGUGUGUUUGACAAAUGCCAUCUUGUGGUACAAAAUCCUCCCUUAUAAACGAGGGAGUGUGGAGACCGCGUGCGUGGGCUCCAGACUGCAGACUCAAUGCCUGUCUCUAAGCCAGGUACUUAAUCCCCGGAGCUUCUGUUCUUACCCAUCCCACUGCACAAACGAUGUUCCGAGUGGCUGCAAAGGUGGGCUGAGUUAACAGGUGUGCAGCGCUUAGAAGAGCACCCGGCUCACCUGGUGAAUGGCAGCUGUGAUCGUCGAAGUGUUAAUCAGCAGGUUGCUGUUGACAACAACCGCAGACCCGGGCAAUCCUGUCUUCAAUCACUGAUCGUUUCCAUCUCGGAAGGAGACACUUAGGGCUCUGUCCGUUGCUGUUUCUGCACACUGCUCUGCACUGGCCACACCCCAUUCCAGGCCUGCCCUUUUCCACAGGGCAAAGAAAGGUCCAUCACUGCUCUCCUGAACAGAUUUGAUUUCACUGCAUCACAGCGCCAGCCCCAGGACUUUGCCCUGGAAAUGAGGAGCAGAUCUGCUGGAUUUCUUCUGAAGACCUCAUUUCUUGCUUUCUCUUUGGACACUAUCAAUGCUGUUGCACACAGAGCUCCCUAACAAGCCCACGGGGUCAGAGCACUGUAUACUAAUUCACAUGGGCCUUAUCUUAUUUUUCUUACUCUUAUUUUCCUUCCACACCAACACUGUUUAUAAAAAUUCUCGUAUCGUGUAUAUUUUGUAAAUCACCCCAUAUCCUGUCUGGACAGGGUUGGACAGAAAACAAAAAG
ensembl:lncRNA